UCAGCAGUCAAGGAUAUUAGUCAAUGGCCUAACGGCUGAACUGGCAACUUGGAGAAGUGGCAAGUCUUCCAGUAUGGGGAGCAAAACAGCUAUGGGUCAAGUCCGAUAUCUUUAGGAGAAGUCUUAUUGUGAGGGCGAGUUAUAUAACACCAUAGGACUGGCCGUCCCAUAUGAAAAGAUUAUAUUAGAAUUGAAUGAAGCUUUGUUUAUAUAUUGAUAAUGACAGUAUAUAUAUCGUGUCUUGACUAAUUGCGUGCCAGCAGUCGCGGUAAUACGUAAGAGACUAGUGUUAUUCAUCUUAAUUAGGUUUAAAGGGUACCCAGACGGUCAAUAUAGCUUAUAAAAUGUUAGUACUUGACUAGAGUUUUAUGUAAGAGGGCAGUACUUGAGGAGGAGAGAUGAAAUUUCGUGAUACCAAAGGGACUCUGUAAAGGCGAAGGCAGCCCUCUAUGUAAAAACUGACGUUGAAGGACGAAGGCACAGAGAACAAACAGGAUUAGAUACCCAAGUAGUCUUUGCAGUAAAUGAUGAAUGCCAUAGGUUAGAUUGGUCAAUUAUAGUCUAGGGUUAGUCUAGCAAACUAAUACCCUAUGCUAUAAUCCUAAUAUCUGGUCUAUAAAUGAAAGUGUAAGCAUUUCACCUCAAGAGUAAUGUGGCAACGCAGGAACUGAAAUCACUAGACCGUUUCUGACACCAGUAGUGAAGUAUGUUAUUUAAUUCCGAUAAUCCGCA
rnacentral:rRNA from 1 species